rnacentral:lncRNA from 1 species
GUUUCUUGCUCCUGGGGCACGGAGGAUGGCUGGAGAGAGAGGGAGAAGAGAGAGAGAGACUUGGGAGAAAGAGUCAUCUAUUACUUGGCUUGAUCAAACCUAUACAAGUACAUGUAUAUAUAAACACUGGGUCAAGUGACCCAAACUCAAAACUCCCUUGACCAACUCUAUGGAAAAUUAGGUUAACCCAAGCCCAUGUACACCCAUGACUCGACCUAAUCUCACCUAUCCUGGGUCCAGACCUGGCCCAUAAAGAGUUGGUCCCUUGAGGCCCACAUAACCUAGACCUCAAGAACCCGAAAGGCCUACAGCCUUUCAACCUAGGGCCC